AAACAGAGGAGUGGGAGGAUUCCCAUCUUGUGAUUCUUCUAACUCCUCCCUGAGUGUUUGCCCUUCCCCUGGAACAUUUAGGUGUGUGUUGUCAUAGAAACCUUUCAGUGAUAAUGCUCUUAAGAACUUGGCAGGUUUUUUUCUGUCCCCAAAAUAACCCACCUCAUCAAUCAAGAACGCUCAGGCAAAGCAGUUAGGGGAUGCUGUGACACACACAGGUGAUGACAAGGACACAGGAUGACAGAGGGCCGUCUCACCUUCAGCUGCAAGCAGCACAGUGGUGUGGUCAUACAGGUCAGCGAUUUCUUCUUCUGACCAGCUGAAGGGGACUUUGGGAUCUACCAAAGAAGAGAAGACUGAGUGGCCUGUUCCUUCCUGUGCUGGCCACCAGCUCUUACUGCAAACUGACUGAAGGAAGCUUUGGGGCAAGAGACCAGGCUGAGCUGUGUGUGGUGGUACACCCUGGUAGUUCCAGCACUCAGCAGAUCUGGGAGUGCCGGGUCAGACGUGCCUACUAAUGAGGCUUUGUUGCACAAAAGAAAGAAGGAAGGAAGGGAGGGAUGGAGGACAGGGAGGUGGGGGGUGGAGGAUGAGGGCUGGGUCUGAAGACAGGUUGACUUGUACCUAGGGACAGCCACCCAGGUAAAGGGUACCUCCCACCAGUGAGGGGCAAGUAGGUUCUCUCCUCACUUGCCCCUUCUCAGAAGCCCUGUGAGAACAUUAUCUGUCAAUCACCAUCCCAACCUACUCACUGUGUGACACCAGGAAACUGGUCAAGUCACUCUGAAUUUCAGUGUUUAUGUCUACAGAAAGGUUACUAAAACUUCUCUCAGAAGAUGUCUGGGAAGGCCAAGGGUCAAA